CCGGAGGAAGGUGGGGAUGACGUCAAGUCAUCAUGCCCCUUAUGUCUUGGGCUGCACACGUGCUACAAUGGCCGGUACAAUGGGCUGCGAUGGGUGACCCGGAGCGAAUCCCACAAACCGGCCCCAGUUCGGAUCGAAGGCUGCAACUCGCCUUCGUGAAGUCGGAGUUGCUAGUAAUCGCGGAUCAGCAUGCCGCGGUGAAUUACGUUCCCGGGCCUU
rnacentral:rRNA from 1 species